UGAGGAAUAUUGGUCAAUGGGGGCAACCCUGAACCAGCCAAGUCGCGUGAAGGAUGAAGGUCUUAUGUAUUGUAAACUUCUUUUAUACAGGAAUAAAUUGGGGGACGUGUCCCCUUUUGCAUGUACUGUAUGAAUAAGGAUCGGCUAACUCCGUGCCAGCAGCCGCGGUAAUACGGAGGAUCCGAGCGUUAUCCGGAUUUAUUGGGUUUAAAGGGUGCGCAGGCGGGAUGUUAAGUCGGCGGUGAAAUUUUGCAGCUCAACUGUAAAAGUGCCUUCGAUACUGGCCUCCUUGAGUGUGGAUGAAGUAGGCGGAAUUUGUGGUGUAGCGGUGAAAUGCUUAGAUAUCACGAGGAACUCCGAUUGCGCAGGCAGCUUACUAAGCCACAACUGACGCUCAUGCACGAAGGCGUGGGGAUCAAACA
rnacentral:rRNA from 1 species